GACGAACGCUGGCGGCGCGCUUAACACAUGCAAGUCGAGCGAUGAAAUUUCGACAGAUCCCUUCGGGGUGAAGAUGAAAUGGAUUAGCGGCGGACGGGUGAGUAACACGUGAGUAACCUGCCUUUGACAUUGGGAUAGCCUCGGGAAACUGGGAUUAAUACCAAAUGACACUAACUGAUCACAUGAUCAAUUAGUCAAAGAAAUUCGGUCAAAGAUGGACUCGCGGCUGAUUAGCUAGUUGGUGAGGUAACGGCCCACCAAGGCGACGAUCAGUAGCCGGCCUGAGAGGGUGAUCGGCCACAGUGGAACUGAGACACGGUCCAAACUCCUACGGGAGGCAGCAGUGGGGAAUAUUGCACAAUGGGGGAAACCCUGAUGCAGCGACGCCGCGUGAGCGAAGAAGGCCUUCGGGUCGUAAAGCUCUUUUAUGAGGGAAGAUAAUGACGGUACCUCAAGAAAAAGCCCCGGCUAACUACGUG
rnacentral:rRNA from 1 species